ensembl:lncRNA uncharacterized LOC113145164
GCGGUGUUAACGUGCACACAGCAGGACUGAUACAUACCACUAUGAGAUGGAAAGUACAGUGACCUCAACUUAUUUAUGCAUUCAGCUGUCUGUGAAUAAAACAUCAUCUCUUCCACGGGAUCAUCUGCUAUAAGAUCGACAGCUUUUUGUAAAUUCACUUUACUGCACUUAUUGCUUCUAACUUAAUUAUAGGGGCUGUGCAUAUAAGAAUUCUCCUGUAAUUAUUAAAAAUGAUUUAUGUUUAUGUGCUUCAACAGCUUUUGUUUGCAAGACAAUGUUGUCUAAGAAAAAUAAAUGACUUAUAUCAUGUUUUAGAAAAUAUACCAAGCACCCAAGUGAACAUUUUUCAAAUGGAGCAACUGGCAGAAAAGUAACUUUCAUCAGUGACAAAAUAUUAACUGUAAGAACGCCACAACAUUGUGUUUGCUGAAUCUGAAAAUGUACAUACCUUCGUUUUCUGUUUUGUAAAGGAGGAUAUGCUUUGAUUUGGUGAAUAUGAAUAUGAAGCUGAAAGCUGAUACCAAAUAAAUGAUUUUGUGUAGGUUUUGUGUAUAUUCUCUGAUGUUUCUGUAAAUGUUCAGUGCUUACUCUGUUUUCGGUGUCUAGAAGGCAUUUACAGUCUACUGUUGUAUGCUUUAUGUUAUCUGUAUGUUAAACCAGUACAAUCUGGUUACACACAUUUUCAGAGAUGAUGCAGCUUUGUCAUGAGGUGUAAUUUGCAGUGUUGCUUCACAAUGUGCUAGUUGUUAGUUCAUCAUUUGCAAAAUGGAUGGCUGUUAAGCAAUAACAGAAAUACAUGAACAAUGUAACACAGUCCUAUAGAACUACACCACAGACUAUAACCUCCGGUCUUUCUUGUCCUGUGUCCACCCCGCAUAUCUGGAUUAGGGUACUGCAUAACAUGUGCUUUAAAAAGAAACAUGUACUUUUAAAAAAAAGUGGCACAACACACUUGGCAGUUUUGUGAGGGACCCGUGUUUGUCCUCUAGCUGAUGAUUUAUCACUUCCUCUUCUUUCCUUAGUGAGGAGGAGCCUCAAAUCAUCUAAAAAGAGUGCAAAACUAAGAAAAAAAAGUGCUGAGACUGUGACUGAGUAUUGCACUAAAGAUGAAGUUUGCCUUUGUCUUUCUUCUUUUAUUAGGUAUUGUGUAACCUAUGUAAUAGCAAAUCUAGCAAUUUUCAUUCUAAUCUGUAUUUUCAUCAGGAAUGUUUGUUUUUCAGACAUCCCUCAUUUAAAAGGACAGCAGAGGACUGAGGAGUUUGAACACAUUUUGCUGAGAUUCACCUUCCCUUCAUUUUACAAUAGUUAUAACAAGUCGUGCUGCAAACUCUAUCCAGGAGGAUGUUACAAGCUGCUGGACAGUGCCGGGUAUACCUGUGAUUCACUGAAAGGAAGAGUUACAAAAACUGAGAAAGACGGCUGGAUUGAAUUCAAGAUAUCAAAUGUGCAGCUUCUGGAUCGAGGCUACUACAGAUGUAUUGUGUUGGGAACCCCAAACCAGAUCUAUAACGACUACUAUGUAGAGGUCUCAGACGCUUCAAAUCAUAACAGUCAGUUUCAGCCUCCACUGACUACUGCAAUCAAUGUCCCCACUACCUCCAAACCACUCUCAGAGUCCACUGGGCCUGUUCUAGCCCAGGACCACAGUGACAGUCCCAGAGUUCCCUGGACUUUCGGCCUGCUACUGGCCACUAUUGUGUCCCUUACAAUGGUGAUUUUGAUUGCUUCAGUGACUGGGAUUGUUUGCUGCAGAGUGAGGACCAAACGCAAACAGCUGGACAAAUGUGGAGAAACUCUAUGUGAGUCACAGAAGCAAGAGGAUCAAGAAUCGAGCAGCAUAGUUUACACAACAGUGGACUUCAGAAACCAGAAACCAACAGAGGUGUAUGCAAACCUGAGGAUACAAAAAACCAGACCGGGAGACUCUGACUCAACCUGGAGCGCAGGGCAGGCUGGGAUGGUGGAGUACUCCACACUGGCAAUCCACCAGUGAUUCAUGUGAAAGUUUAGUUUCCGAUUUUCACUUGGGAUCCAUUUUAUUAGUUAUGUCUUUAAUGAGAAUUCAAUUUGACAUAUAGAUCACCCCUGCUGCUUUAUUUCAAUGUUUGUCCCUUUUGAGUGCCCAGAAUUUGUGCAAGUGCAUUUCCACUCACUGAACUAUACCCCCUGAUAUGUGUUGUAUAUAGCAGAAAAUCAUUGAAGGCAUUAAAAAAUGAAAUGAUACUGAAAUUAAAGAGAUGAACUCUGUCAUGAUCAUGCACAUACUCUGGUGAAAUUGGUUUCUGUGUGGUAUUCUCGGAACGCUGUGGUUCUGCUCACAGGCGGAGAUAGGAGAAGAGUUGUCAGAACAGGUCAUCAGGUAAUCUUUUCUUAUAUCACUGUUUGUCCUUAUCUGCUUAUUGUAGAUUAAAGCCUCACAGGAACCUGGGCCCUCUGAUAUUCUGAGUCGCUCGAUAUCCUAUUCUCAGCCUGGUGGUCUUUUACAAUGAAAUAAUAUCAAAAAAGGCCAAAAAAAAAAAAAAAAAAAAACAAGAAGCUUGUGGUGUUCCUUCAUAUAUCUAUAAAAGGUCAAUUUUCUCUUAAGAGUGAAUGAAUGAACACACUGAACAUUCUUCCUGUGACAUUUCAGUCCAAC